ensembl:snRNA U6 U6 spliceosomal RNA
AUGCCAAUUUGGCAGCACAUAAAGUAAAAUUGGAAUGAAAUAGAUAAGAUCAACAUGACCUCUGAGCAACCAUAAGAUGCAAAUUGUGAGGUGUUACAUAUUUUU